UUUAAUGUAGCUUAUAAUAAAGCAAGGCACUGAAGAUGCCUAGAUGAGUAAAUUACUCCAUAAACA
rnacentral:tRNA from 1 species